rnacentral:rRNA from 1 species
GACAGAGGGUGCAAACGUUGCUCGGAAUUACUGGGCGUAAAGCGCGUGUAGGCUGACCGGAAAGUCGGGCGUGAAAUCCCUGAGCUCAACUCAGGAACUGCACUCGAAACUCUCGGUCUAGAGUGGUGGAGAGGGAAGUGGAAUUCCUGGUGUAGAGGUGAAAUUCGUAGAUAUCAGGAGGAACACCGGUGGCGAAGGCGGCUUCCUGGACACCAACUGACGCUGAGGUGCGAAAGCGUGGGGAGCAAACAGG